GGAUGAACGCUAGCGGCAGGCUUAAUACAUGCAAGUCGAGGGGCAGCACGAAUAGCAAUAUUUGGUGGCGACCGGCAAACGGGUGCGGAACACGUACAGAACCUUCCUUCGAGUGGGGAAUAGCCCGAAGAAAUUCGGAUUAAUACCCCAUAGUAUUAUGAAGUGGCAUCACUUUAUAAUUAAAGAUUUAUUGCUUGAAGAUGGCUGUGCGCCUGAUUAGGUAGUUGGCGGGGUAACGGCCCACCAAGCCUUCGAUCAGUAACUGGUGUGAGAGCACGACCAGUCACACGGGCACUGAGACACGGGCCCGACUCCUACGGGAGGCAGCAGUAAGGAAUAUUGGUCAAUGGACGCAAGUCUGAACCAGCCAUGCCGCGUGGAGGAUGAAGGUCCUCUGGAUUGUAAACUUCUUUUAUUUGGGAAGAAAUGUGAUUAUUCUUUUUCACUUGACGGUACCAGAUGAAUAAGCACCGGCUAACUCCGUGCCAGCAGCCGCGGUAAUACGGAGGGUGCAAGCGUUAUCCGGAUUUACUGGGUUUAAAGGGUGCGCAGGCGGAUAUGUAAGUCAGUGGUGAAAUCUCCGGGCUUAACCCGGAAACUGCCGUUGAUACUAUAUAUCUUGAAUGCUGUGGAGGUAAGCAGAAUAUGUCAUGUAGCGGUGAAAUGCUUAGAGAUGACAUAGAAUACCUAUUGCGAAGGCAGCUUACUACGCAGAUAUUGACGCUCAUGCACGAAAGCGUGGGGAUCAAACAGGAUUAGAUACCCUGGUAGUCCACGCCCUAAACGAUGAUUACUCGACAUACGCGAUACACUGUGUGUGUCUGAGCGAAAGCAUUAAGUAAUCCACCUGGGAAGUACGAUCGCAAGAUUGAAACUCAAAG
rnacentral:rRNA from 1 species